AUUGAACGCUGGCGGCAGGCUUAACACAUGCAAGUCGAACGAGUGGCGGACGGGUGAGUAAUGCUUGGGCAUCUAGCUUAUGGAGGGGGAUAACUACGGGCAACUGUAGCUAAUACCGCGUACCAUAGGAUGAUCCCAAGUGGGAUUAGGUAGUUGGUGAGGUAAAGUCUCACCAAGCCGACGAUAUCUAGCUGGUCUCAGAGGAUGACCAUGAACACGGGGACUGGGAAACGGCCCAGACUCCUACGGGAGGCAGCAGUGGGGAAUAUUGCGAAAUGGGGGCAACCUGACGCAGCCAUGCCGCGUGAAUGAAGAGGGCCUUCGGGUUUGAAAGUUCUUUCUGUAGCGAGGCGUUAACUACAGAAGAAGCACCGGCUAACUCCGUGCCAGCAGCCGCGGUAAUAC
rnacentral:rRNA from 1 species